GUCGCUCACCUUGGUAUAUGUGAAUAUUAAACAAAAGAAGCAGAUAGAUUCAUGACAAAAUUGUGUUUUGGUGAUGGUGAUGUGUUUGUACAUCUUACUUUACUGAACAUUUUUGCUGCUUACAAUUAUCUCUAUCUAUAAUGAACUUGGCCCAGUAGUUUCAGUGGAAAAUGUUAGUAAAAAUUUACAAAUUUUAUGAAAAUUGUUAAAAAUUGACUAUAAAGGACAAUUACUCCUUAGGGGUCAAUUGACCAUUUCAGUCAUGUUGACUUAUUUGUAAAUCUUACUUU
rnacentral:lncRNA from 1 species